rnacentral:misc_RNA from 1 species
AACGCACAUUGCGCCCGCUGGUAUUCCGGCGGGCAUGCCUGUUCGAGCGUCAUAAUGACCAACUCACGCUCCGCGUGGUCUUGGGGUCCGCUUCCGGGCGGCCCUUAAACGCAGUGGCGGUGCCGUGCGGCUCUCAGCGUAGUAAUUCUUCUCGCUACAGGGUCCGGACGGUGCUGGCCAGCAACCCCAACUACAUAAGGUUGACCUCGGAUCAGGUAGGGAUACCCGCUGAACUUAA